GUAAAACCAGACACAAUUCUUGUCUGAGUGGAAGAAAUUAACAAAACAACCGUAGAAGUGGGCAAACAAGUAUAGAACCUGAACCCCAAGAGGCAAGUACCUAAUAUUGAAAUCACUUAGGAACAAAGAUUUGAUCUAUCAAGGUGUGAGGAUGGCCUUAGGCUUUUUUUGAGCCUAAACAACUCAAUUUAAAAAAACUCCAGUUUGAAAACUCCAGUCUAAUCAGGCACGCCUAACAGAGCCCUCCAGUAUGGCCUCAGACAAGUUAGUUCCCCUCACCCUGAUAAACAGAGUGAAGCCCCUGGCAGGCUAUCCUCACCUAAGAGGGAAAGGAGAGAAGAUCAGGGUGGAGACCACCAGACCAGAUGUUUCUGACCUCAGGGUAAAUGAUGUCAUGGAGAAAUCCAAUGGUAGCUGAUAAGGAUUGAAAGAGGGGUCAAAAGCCCCCAAAUUAUUAUUUAGUAUAAAUAAUAGAGUUAAUGAACAGGGAUUCAGCCAGAUGAAACAAGGAUGCACUCGAGCUGGAGAGCCUGAUGAGGACCUGGUCUGACAUCCCAUCACUUGUCAUCGUUUGCCUGAUCCUCACAGCUCUCAAACUCUACUGCCUCAUCUGGACCUUGGUGAGAGCCUCAACUUCUCCAUAUUACCCUCUCCUCAACCGGUCAUCCACUCCACCCCAGGAGAAGCCUGCCUUGGUUCUGGAGCUGAUCACCGUGGUCUGAGUGUGCAUCUGCUGGACUUAAGACUUUUGAUCUGACAUUUGAACUUAGCACGCAGAGGGAAUGUCUGUCAUUAGCCUGUCAUGGUGAAGUAUAUUUACACUGCUUAAAAAUUAAUCUAGAAUUGUUUGCUUUCAACUAAUCUAGAAUCGUUUGCUGUGCAUUGAUUAUGUCUAUUGCAGUACCUAGCAUUAAGGACUAUCGUUUUCUUGAUUAAGAACCUAUAGAGAGUUAGCCAAACCCUAAAAAACAAAUGCCGAAUGUCUUCUCUGAUAUAAGGGGGGUGACUCAAAAUGGGGUAGGAAGGAAGAGCAUGAGAUGAUUAUCACUAAAU
rnacentral:lncRNA from 1 species